UUUAAAUAGUAUCUUAUUUGGCUCUGAACUACUGUAUUUAAAAGUAGGAUAGCUUCUGUAACACACAUUUAAUCUCAAAAGGGGAUUUGGUUCUGAAAUUUGUAAAUUCUACACUAUAAUUUUGGAGUACUGUGAUGCAACAUAGUGAGAUAGGUGCUUGGCAAGUGGAACACCUCAUUGACCAUUAGAUUCACUUUGCACUUUUAAGAAAGCAGAUGGAAUCUAAGAGAACCAGAACGUAGCAGCCUUGUCUGAAGCUGGUAACUGGGCAAGCCUGGAGCAUUGUUACAAGCUGGUGCAGACCAGGCAACCUGAAGACUGGUCGAAGUGGCAGAUGAGAGCCUUGGAGGCAGCACACCAUCUGGAGCUGUCGCGAAGCGAGGAAGAAUUAGAGCAGAGAAAACUGCAGAGAACAUAUGCUGAACGGAUUCAAAAUGCUCCUCAAACCAAUCCUGGGGAUCACCAGGAAUGCUAUUCUGUCAGAAACAUUCGAAGACCUUUGCUGCUAAAUUGCUUGUAUGCAAAUUUCAUAAUGGUGCUGCUAAAAUGAUAAUUAGAUUCAAAAAGCAGAAAAAUAUAUGCAUAUUAAAGAUAGCACUUCACUAAACAAAGCUUUUUCUAUCAUAAUAAAAAUUGCA